rnacentral:rRNA from 1 species
UACGUAGGGUCCGAGCGUUGUUCGGAAUUACUGGGCGUAAAGGGCUCGUAGGCGGCCAACUAAGUCAUACGUGAAAUCCCUCGGCUUAACCGGGGAACUGCGUCUGAUACUGGAUGGCUUGAGUUCGGGAGAGGGAUGCGGAAUUCCAGGUGUAGCGGUGAAAUGCGUAGAUAUCUGGAGGAACACCGGUGGCGAAGGCGGCAUCCUGGACCGACACUGACGCUGAGGAGCGAAAGCUAGGGGAGCAAACGGG